CAUGUUAAAAUUGUACAUGAAGCCGAUACCACUCAAAAUGUCUAUGUGACCUUAACCACUCUUAUAUUAUUUAAUUGAGUGAACAACCCACAGAGGGGAUUAGACUUCCCAUCAGCCAAUAUAACCGAUGAAGCGAUGAGUGGUGAAAUGCCUUCAAGACCAUGACACAAAAUUACACAAAGGGUGAGACCAUAAAAAAUCAUGCUUGUAUUAAAACUAUACAAGCAUGAUUUUUUUAUGGUCUCACCCUUUGUGACCUGGUUAAGGUCACAUAGACAUUUUGAGUGGUAUCGGCUUCAUGUACAAUUUUCACAUGAAUAAGGUGUGAAUUGGUAUCGAAUCUCCUGUGAAAGGAUGUCAGAUUUUGUACCCACGUAGUUCAGGUCUUCAGUUUUUAUUGUAACCUCAGUACUGGGUACGAGGGGCAUG